UACGGAGGGAGCUAGCGUUGUUCGGAAUUACUGGGCGUAAAGCGCACGUAGGCGGCUUUGUAAGUUAGAGGUGAAAGCCCGGAGCUCAACUCCGGAACUGCCUUUAAGACUGCAUCGCUUGAAUCCAGGAGAGGUGAGUGGAAUUCCGAGUGUAGAGGUGAAAUUCGUAGAUAUUCGGAAGAACACCAGUGGCGAAGGCGGCUCACUGGACUGGUAUUGACACUGAGGAGCGAAAGCGUGGGGAGCGAACAGG
rnacentral:rRNA from 1 species